AAGUAAUAAAAUCUUUCAACUCAAACUAAUAUAGUUUGGCGGCAUUUCAUCUCACUAGAGGAACUUGUUUUUUAAUCGACAACCCGCGUUAAUUUUCACUAAUUUUUAAAGCCUAUAUACCGCCAUCUUAACGAACUUAUUUAAAAAUACUAUUCAAAAUAAUAUUCUAACAAGUUAGGUCAAGGUGUAGCCCACAAAUUAGAUAAAAUGAGUUACAUUAAAUGUUAUUUAUAGAUUAAUAAAUAAAAAAUUAUUAUGAAUAAGGAUUUAGCUGUAUAAAUAUAAUAAUACUUUACAUAGAACAAGAUAAUAAAUGUGC
rnacentral:rRNA from 1 species